GUUUGAGGCUUAUCGUUUGACAACAACAAAUGAUCAGUUUAUCUUCUAGAAAGUAGAUUGUCAACAAUUUAUAAAUGAAGAGUCUGCUAGUCAGUGAUAAGCAAAGGACUCUGUGUGGGAACUGGAGGGAAGAAAGACCCUCAAUCAUGUUCUAAGGGACCUCCAAGUUGAAGAUGACAUGAGCUAAGCAUGCCCAGAUGAACCAUGUGCAGAACCUAAGUGCUAGGACUGAGAAGCAGGGACUGAAUUAAGAAAAAGUACAAGGCAAGAAGGUCAGGAUCCAGUCAGAUCAUGCAUUCU
rnacentral:lncRNA from 10 species